GACGAACGCUGGCGGCGUGCUUAACACAUGCAAGUCGAGCGGAGCGGCGAACGGGUGAGUAACGCGUGAGUAACUGCCCCCCUCUCUGGGAUAACAGUUGGCAACGGCUGCUAAUACCGGAUAGUGGGGGAUGACUCGCGUCCUAUCAGAUUGUUUGUGGGGUAGUGGCCUACCAAGGCGACGACGGGUAGCCGGCCUGAGAGGGCGACCGGCCACAUUGGGCUGAGGUACGGACCAGACGCCUACGGGGGGCAGCAGUGGGGAAUAUUGCGCAAUGGGGGAAAGCCUGAUGCAGCAGCGCCGCGUGCGGAAAGACGGCCUUCGGGGUGUGAACCGCUUUCAGCCAUGACGCGGUAGUGGCAGAAGAAGCACCGGCUAACUACGUGCCAGCAGCCGCGGUAAUUC
rnacentral:rRNA from 1 species